AAAAUCAAAGCAUAAAAUUAAAUGUUGAAAUAUAACAUUUGAAUCUAAAGAAAAAUAUCGUGCUACAUAAUGCUAUUUUUAGUUGAAAGCAUCAACACCUAGUAGCCAACCAUUACUGCCAAUACCACGCCAUGCUAAUGUUUUUCGAGAGAUCCAACACCAAGGAAAAUCUACUCAAAGCUUCGUGUCAUUAGCAAACGAUCCUGAAGAAAUAAAUUUACCUUCAGAGUUCUUGCCAAUCCCUCACACCGAAAACUCCACUCACACCCUUACACCAAUCACAUAGACAAUUGAAUACCGAUUGUCUUCUAUUGAAAACCUACAUAAAGUAAAGUCUGUAACUUCUGCGACAAAAGAGAUUAAACAUCUGACAGAGCGUAUGCCAAUAGGUCAUACUGAAGAAAGUUUAUUCAAGAAAUCAAGAGUUAAAUGCUGUGUUGCUGCAAUGUUAGGAUGAAGAAAUGACCUCUCUUUUUGCAAGUUUUACUUAAAUAUUAUUGAAAUACUUUUAAA